GGAAACUAGGGCUAAUACCGGAUACGCCCUUUUGGGGAAAGGUUUACUGCCGGAAGAUCGGCCCGCGUCUGAUUAGCUAGUUGGUGGGGUAACGGCCUACCAAGGCGACGAUCAGUAGCUGGUCUGAGAGGAUGAUCAGCCACACUGGGACUGAGACACGGCCCAGACUCCUACGGGAGGCAGCAGUGGGGAAUAUUGGACAAUGGGCGCAAGCCUGAUCCAGCCAUGCCGCGUGAGUGAUGAAGGCCUUAGGGUUGUAAAGCUCUUUUAUCCGGGACGAUAAUGACGGUACCGGAGGAAUAAGCCCCGGCUAACUUCGUGCCAGCAGCCGCGGUAAUACGAAGGGGGCUAGCGUUGCUCGGAAUCACUGGGCGUAAAGGGCGCGUAGGCGGCGUUUUAAGUCGGGGGUGAAAGCCUGUGGCUCAACCACAGAAUGGCCUUCGAUACUGGGACGCUUGAGUAUGGUAGAGGUUGGUGGAACUGCGAGUGUAGAGGUGAAAUUCGUAGAUAUUCGCAAGAACACCGGUGGCGAAGGCGGCCAACUGGACCAUUACUGACGCUGAGGCGCGAAAGCGUGGGGA
rnacentral:rRNA from 1 species